rnacentral:rRNA from 1 species
GACGAACGCUGGCGGCGUGCCUAAUACAUGCAAGUCGAGCGCAGGAAGUCAUCCGAACCCUUCGGGGGGACGGUGACGGAAUGAGCGGCGGACGGGUGAGUAACACGUAAAGAACCUGCCCUCAGGUCUGGGAUAACCAUGAGAAAUCGGGGCUAAUACCGGAUGGGUCAUCGGACCGCAUGGUCCGAGGAUGAAAGGCGCUUCGGCGUCGCCUGGGGAUGGCUUUGCGGUGCAUUGGCUAGUUGGUGGGGUAACGGCCCACCAAGGCGACGAUGCAUAGCCGACCUGAGAGGGUGAUCGGCCACACUGGGACUGAGACACGGCCCAGACUCCUACGGGAGGCAGCAGUAGGGAAUCUUCCACAAUGGACGAAAGUCUGAUGGAGCAACGCCGCGUGAACGAUGAAGGCCCUCGGGUCGUAAAGUUCUGUUGUAAGGGAAGAACAAGUGCCGCAGGCAAUGGCGGCACCUUGACGUACCUACGAGAAGCCCCG